GUGCCAACUGAAUUUCCUUUUUUUGAACAUUUAUAAUGAGAUUUUAUUAAUAAUUAAAAUUAACAAAACAAAUCCAAUUUAACAUUUUAUCUAACUUGAAUUUCCAACCCCCCCCCCCCAAUCAAAGUUAAACAUUGAACUGUAUUUCUUUGCUAGUGAAAAAAAAUGUUAAUCAUUGCUUUUUGGUAUUUUAUUAAUUAUUUAAAAGGCCAAUUUAUUGCCAGUGACAGUCAAAUUAAUUAUUAAUAAUAAUUAUUUUUUCAUUCAUAUCAUUAUUGUAACCCAUAAAUCAAUACAAUUAAUUUAAUUUUUGUACCAAAAAACCCUGUGUGUAGCUCUUUUUUGGGGAUAUUGUGGAUUAAAAGUAGCUGAUGUCCUUCAACAGAUCUUGCUGUAUCAAUUGACACAAACUUUAGAAAAAUCAGUUAAAGGUUAUUUCUGAAAAUUUAACCAUAAUAUUAGUAGUUUUUUUUCUUUUAUGUAAGAUAAACUAGAAAUUGACAAAAAUUUAACUGGAUGCUGGUAUUACAGACAAAUAUGUUUUGGCCUCCACUAAAAUAAUUUUUUUAAAUAUCACCUAGCCUAUGUAAUUCGGGGUACUGUAACAAUAUCCAAAUCCGUUAAGCUAUAAUUUGGCGGUAUUAAUAAUAUGUAUAACAUUGUCCAACAUUGUUUGAACUGUUUGCUAAUAUAUUUUGGUAUCCACUGAAGUCAGUUAGUAACAGUCAGAAUAAAAGUGUAUCAAAAUAAUAUUUUUAUAAUCAAU